rnacentral:lncRNA from 10 species
CCCCCCCCCGCCCCCGCCCAUCAGCCCAGCCUGCAAGGAGGCGCCACCGGACCUGCACACUCAGGAGCAGACUCAGCUAGAUUGGAAGAGAGGAUGGGAAGACAAUGGAUGACCUACCUGUGGAGAGAAACUACCCAUUCCAGAACCUCCUCUCUGCUGAAAGCUGAACACUCAAUGGGAAGACCUGUUUGCAGAGAGGAGCCAGCCACUCCAGGGUCUCCGUUCUGCUAGAAGCUGAACACUCGUUGGGACACCCUUGCUGUGGAAAGGACAUCCUUACUGUGGAAAUGAGCUACUAACUGCAGUCCUUACAUGAAGCCUACUCAGACCGACAUCACUGUAUCAUUUUUUUGUAUUCUGAAGUCCUUCAGCACUUGAUUCCUUUAAGUUUAAUCUUGGUAUUCUAUUGGGAAUCAUAUGGAAAUGUACAAUGAUAUUUAUUGAAUGAACAGGAAACAGGGAAAGACAUUGACCAGAAAAAGUGUUUAUUCAUCAAGUCUUUAAAGAUACAAAAACACGUGUCUUCUGUGGAGCUCUGAGAACAGGACUCCAGCAAAGCACUUUUCAGCCUUGUGGUCUUCAAGCAUUUCCAAGAUCUGUGACAUUGGAAAGAAAAAAAAUUAAGACAGAUUUGGGUCUCCAUGAGCAGAGAGUAUUCUUUCCCUUAGUUCUGGGUAGCAUAGUGCCCAAGGAAACCUAAUCAGUACAGUGGGAAACCAAAUCUAUUCCAAAUCAUUACCCAUAAGCAAUCCUAUGGACUCUCUGAGGUUUGACAGAGUCAGCGGCCCUCUCCAAUAAAUGUGUUUUUCUAUAAU